rnacentral:rRNA from 1 species
UACGUAGGGUGCAAGCGUUGUCCGGAAUUAUUGGGCGUAAAGAGCUCGUAGGCGGUUUGUCGCGUCUGCUGUGAAAACUCGGGGCUUAACCCCGGGCCUGCAGUGGGUACGGGCAGACUAGAGUGCGGUAGGGGAGACUGGAAUUCCUGGUGUAGCGGUGAAAUGCGCAGAUAUCAGGAGGAACACCGAUGGCGAAGGCGGGUCUCUGGGCCGAUACUGACGCUGAGGAGCGAAAGCGUGGGGAGCGAACAGG